rnacentral:rRNA from 1 species
GAGUUUUGAUCCUGGCUCAGGAUGAACGCUGGCGGCGUGCCUAACACAUGCAAGUCGAACGGACUUGCAUUGAAGCCUAGCGAUAUGUAAGUUAGUGGCGGACGGGUGAGUAACGCGUGGGUAACCUGCCUUGUACUGGGGGACAACAGUUGGAAACGACUGCUAAUACCGCAUAAGCGCACAGCUUCGCAUGAAGCAGUGUGAAAAACUCCGGUUGGUACAAGAUGGACCCGCGUCUGAUUAGCUGGUUGGUGAGGUAACGGCCCACCAAGGCGACGAUCAGUAGCCGGCCUGAGAGGGUGAACGGCCACAUUGGGACUGAGACACGGCCCAAACUCCUACGGGAGGCAGCA